rnacentral:lncRNA from 1 species
AGUGAGACCCUGUCUCAAAAUAAUAAAUAAAUAAAUAAAUAGAGUUGCUAUAGCUCAGUGGUGGACUGCCCCUGAGUUCAAAUCCCCAGUACAAAAAAAAAAAAAAGUAAAAGGGAAUAGAGACUAUUAUCAAUAAAAUUUGUAGAUGUAGAAGUAUCUCUAGUACUGUCUCAUAAAUUCUCUUUCCUAACUAAUGCCUUCAAUGACCAAGUCUUUUUUUAAAAAUUUUUAGAUGGAAACUAUGGAGUAUAUUGAAUAUAAGUUAUUGUUCUGUAUUAUUUUAAGCGCUAUUCUGUGAAGACGUAAGAGUUUGCUGCUAUCCCUGUACUGUGUUUUCUUCCCAUAUUCCUGUGUCUUUGAUGUCCUGUCAUCCCUUUCCAUGGAACACCAUCCCUAUGUGGCUUCCUCUAAGGAGACUGGUCUUAAUUUUCUCAAACAGUUGCAGUCUCCCCUUCUUUGAGUACCAGUGGUCAUUUGUGUGUUGCUGAUGGUAUUCACCAUUCACUUACCACAUGCUAAUAUAUACUGUUGUCAUUUGCAUGUUAGCUGAACCCCAUUAGUAGAUCAUGAACUAAUUGUGAUCAGGAAUUAAUUU